UGAGUACGAGAUGCUACGGCAUCGAAGCAGUCUAUGUCAUACUUCCAAGAAAAGCUUGCAAUGUCAUAAACAAAUAAUGCCUGUACCAUAACCACACAGGUGGGUAGGUAGAGUAUACUAAGGGGCGCGAGAUAACUCUCUCUAAGGAACUCGGCAAAAUGACUCCGUAACUUCGGGAGAAGGAGUGCCUUAUUUUUAUAAGGUUGCAAUAACAAGAUCCAAGCAACUGUUUACCAAAAACACAGGUCUCCGCUAAGUCGUAAGACGAUGUAUGGGGGCUGACGCCUGCCCAGUGCCAGAAGGUUAAAGAAGUUGGUUAGCAUUAGCGAAGCUGAUAACUGAAGCCCUGGUGAACGGCGGCCGUAACGAUAACGGUCCUAAGGUAGCGAAAUUCCUUGUCGGGUAAGUUCCGACCCGCACGAAAGGCGUAAUGAUUUGGAUACUGUCUCGGAGAGGGGCUCGGUGAAAUAGACUUGUCUGUGAAGAUGCGGACUACCUGCACCUGGACAGAAAGACCCUAUGAAGCUUUACUGUAACUUGAGAUUGAAAUUGGACUUUAUCUGCGCAGUAUAGGUGGGAGACGUUGAAAAUAUUCUUGCGGGAAUAUUGGAGUCAUCAGUGAGAUACCACUCUUAUAAUGUUAGAUUUCUAACUUUGUAUCAUUAUCUGGUCAAAGAACAGUUUCAGGCGGGCAGUUUGACUGGGGCGGUCGCCUCCCAAACGGUAACGGAGGCGCACAAAGGUUUCCUCUGAACGUGUAGAAAUCGUAUCUAGAGUGUAAAGGCAUAAGGAAGCUUGACUGUGAGACCUACAAGUCGAGCAGGGACGAAAGUCGGUCUUAGUGAUCUGACGGUGCUGAGUGGAAAGGCCGUCACUCAACGGAUAAAAGUUACUCUAAGGAUAACAGGCUGAUCUCCCCCAAGAGUUCACAUCGACGGGGAGGUUUGGCACCUCGAUGUCGGCUCAUCGCAUCCUGGGGCGGUAGUACGUCCCAAGGGUUGGGCUGUUCGCCCAUGAAAGCGGUACGCGAGCUGGGUUCAGAACGUCGUGAGACAGUUCGGUCCAUAUCCGGUGUAGGCGUUAGAAUAUUGAGAGGAGCCUUCUUUAGUACGAGAGGACCGAGAAGGACAUACCUCUGGUGUACCAGUUAUCGUGCCAACGGUAAACGCUGGGUAGCCAUGUAUGGAGAGGAUAACCGCUGAAAGCAUCUAAGUGGGAAGCCCACCUCAAGAUAAGUAUUCUCAUC
rnacentral:rRNA from 1 species